GAUGAACGCUGGCGGCGUGCUUAACACAUGCAAGUCGAGCGAAAAGACGCGUAGUUUGAUGCUCUCACGUUAGCCGCGCACGGGAGUGUCACAUGGGGGUACCCCACUUAACUGACUGGGAUAACUGCGGGACAGGGGCGCUAAUACGGGAUAAUAUCAUUUACCGUAUGGUUCAAUAGUGAAAGUCGGUUUUGCUGUCACUUAUAGCUGGAUCCGCGCCGCAUUAGCUAGUUGGUAAGGUAACGGCUUACCAAGGGAAGGAGGCGUAGCCGACCUGAGAGGGUGAUCGGCCACACGGGAGCUGAGACACGGUCCAGACUCCUGCGGGAGGCAGCAGUAGGGCAGCUGCCGCAAUGGGCGAAAACCUGACGGUGCAACGCCGCGUGAGUGAUGGAGGUCUUCUGAGCGUAAAACUCUUUUAGUAGGGAAGAACAAUUGUGUAAGUAACUAUGCACGUCUUGACGGUACCUGGUCAGAAAGCCACGGCUAACUACGUG
rnacentral:rRNA from 1 species